AUUGAACGCUGGCGGCAUGCCUUACACAUGCAAGUCGAACGGCAGCAUGGAGAGCUUGCUCUCUGAUGGCGAGUGGCGAACGGGUGAGUAAAGCAUCGGAACGUACCGUGUAGUGGGGGAUAACGUAGCGAAAGUUACGCUAAUACCGCAUACGCACUGAGGUGGAAAGCAGGGGAUCGUAAGACCUUGCGCUAUACGAGCGGCCGAUGUCAGAUUAGCUAGUUGGUAGGGUAAAGGCCUACCAAGGCGACGAUCUGUAGCGGGUCUGAGAGGAUGAUCCGCCACACUGGGUCUGGGACACGGCCCAGACUCCUACGGGAGGCAGCAGUGGGGAAUUUUGGACAAUGGGGGCAACCCUGAUCCAGCCAUGCCGCGUGAGUGAAGAAGGCCUUCGGGUUGUAAAGCUCUUUCGGCCGGGAAGAAAUCGCACAGGCUAAUACCCUGUGUGGAUGACGGUACCGGCAUAAGAAGCACCGGCUAACUACGUGCCAGCCGCCGCGGUAA
rnacentral:rRNA from 1 species